rnacentral:lncRNA from 1 species
ACUGAUUUCUGUUCAGCUUGAAUUUUGAAACUUCAAAAGUCAGGAAUACGACAGUUGGUAUCCAUUCGUUUGAUGUGUUUGAGCUUUUGAUAAUGCCAUUUAAUUAGGGACUGUCCUUUUUGAAUUUUCCAGGAGUUCAGUAAUUUUGUGAUUUUACUUUUCCCUUGGUAUCUUCCGCCUCUGUUUUUUUUUUCACAAAAAAUAAACGUCUUUCUCAUAUUGAG